rnacentral:rRNA from 1 species
GAUGAACGCUGGCGGCGUGCCUAAUACAUGCAAGUCGAGCGAACAGAUGAGGAGCUUGCUCCUCUGACGUUAGCGGCGGACGGGUGAGUAACACGUGGAUAACCUACCUAUAAGACUGGGAUAACUUCGGGAAACCGGAGCUAAUACCGGAUAAUAUAUUGAACCGCAUGGUUCAAUAGUGAAAGACGGUUUUGCUGUCACUUAUAGAUGGAUCCGCGCCGCAUUAGCUAGUUGGUAAGGUAACGGCUUACCAAGGCGACGAUGCGUAGCCGACCUGAGAGGGUGAGCGGCCGCAGUAGAACUGAGCCAGGGGGCAGAGUCCGACGGGAGGCAGCAGUAGGGAAGAUGCGGAAAUGGGCGGAAACCUUAGAGAGCAAUAGCGAGUGAAGAAGAAAGGUCUACGGAUCGUAAAACGUUGUUAUUAGGGAAAAAAAGAUGUGGAAGUAAAAAUGCGCGUCGGGACGGUACGUAAUCAGAAGGCAGCGGACAAAUAGGUG